UACGUAGGGGGCAAGCGGUUGUCCGGAUUUAUUGGGCGUAAAGAGCGUGUAGGCGGCCAGACAGGUCAGCUGUGAAAACUCGAGGCUCAACCUCGAGACGUCGGUUGAAACCGUCUGGCUAGAGUCCGGAAGAGGAGAGUGGAAUUCCCGGUGUAGCGGUGAAAUGCGCAGAUAUCGGGAAGAACACCCCGUGGCGAAGGCGGCUCUCUGGGACGGUACUGACGCUGAGACGCGAAAAGCGUGGGGGGGGCGAACAGG
rnacentral:rRNA from 1 species